GGGUUGUGAGGUUAAGCGACUAAGCGUACACGGUGGAUGCCCUGGCAGUCAGAGGCGAUGAAGGACGUGCUAAUCUGCGAUAAGCGUCGGUAAGGUGAUAUGAACCGUUAUAACCGGCGAUUUCCGAAUGGGGAAACCCAGUG
rnacentral:rRNA from 4 species